UACGUAGGGUGCAAGCGUUGUCCGGAAUUAUUGGGCGUAAAGAGCUCGUAGGCGGUCUGUCGCGUCGGCUGUGAAAUCCCGAGGCUCAACCUCGGGUCUGCAGUCGAUACGGGCAAACUAGAGUAUUGCAGGGGAGACUGGAAUUCCUGGUGUAGCGGUGAAAUGCGCAGAUAUCAGGAGGAACACCGGGGGCGAAGGCGGGGCUCUGGGCCGAUACUGACGCUGAGACGCGAAAGCGUGGGGAGCGAACAGG
rnacentral:rRNA from 1 species